rnacentral:rRNA from 1 species
GCGACCGGCGCACGGGUGCGUAACGCGUAUGCACCUACCCAUAACAGGGGGAUAACACUGAGAAAUUGGUACUAAUACCCCAUAACCCGGCAUCGGGAAAACUCCGGUGGUUAUGGAUGGGCAUGCGUUGUAUUAGCUGGUUGGUGAGGUAACGGCUCACCAAGGCAACGAUACAUAGGGGGACUGAGAGGUUAACCCCCACAUUGGUACUGAGACACGGACCAAACUCAUACGGGAGGCAGCAGUGAGGAAUAUUGGUCAAUGGACGCAAGUCUGAACCAGCCAUGCCGCGUGCAGGAAGACGGCUUAUGAGUUGUAAACUGCUUUUGUACGAGAGUAACGCUCCUACGUGUAAGAGCCUGAAAGUAUCGUACGAAUAAGGAUCGGCUAACUCCGUGCCAGCAGCCGCGGUAAUACGGAGGAUCCAAGCGUUAUCCGGAUUUAUUGGGUUUAAAGGGUGCGUAGGCGGUUUGAUAAGUUAGAGGUGAAAUACCGGUGCUUAACACCGGAACUGCCUCUAAUACUGUUGAACUAGAGAGUAGUUGCGGUAGGCGGAAUGUAUGGUGUAGCGGUGAAAUGCUUAGAGAUCAUACAGAACACCGAUUGCGAAGGCAGCUUACCAAACUAUAUCUGACGUUGAGGCACGAAAGCGUGGGGA